UACGUAGGAUCCAAGCGUUGUCCGGAUUUACUGGGUGUAAAGGGUGCGCAGGCGGACUUGUUAGUCAGAGGUGAAAUCUCACUGCUCAACAGUGAAACUGCCUUUGAUACUGCAGGUCUUGAAUCCAGAAGAGAGUUGUGGAAUUCCGAGUGUAGCAGUGAAAUGUGUAGGUAUUCGGAAGAACACCAGCGGCGAAGGCAGCAACUUGGUCUGGUAUUGACGCUCAGGCACGAAAGCAUGGGGAUCAAACAGG
rnacentral:rRNA from 1 species